rnacentral:rRNA from 1 species
AUUGAACGCUGGCGGCAUGCUUUACACAUGCAAGUCGAACGGUAACAGGGAGCUUGCUCCGCUGACGAGUGGCGAACGGGUGAGUAAUGCGUCGGAACGUGCCGAGUAGUGGGGGAUAACGCAUCGAAAGGUGUGCUAAUACCGCAUACGAACUGAGGUUGAAAGUGGGGGACCUUCGGGCCGCACGCUAUUUGAGCGGCCGACGUCUGAUUAGCUAGUUGGUGAGGUAAAGGCUCACCAAGGCGACGAUCAGUAGCGGGUCUGAGAGGAUGAUCCGCCACACUGGGACUGAGACACGGCCCAGACUCCUACGGGAGGCAGCAGUGGGGAAUUUUGGACAAUGGGCGCAAGCCUGAUCCAGCCAUGCCGCGUGUCUGAAGAAGGCCUUCGGGUUGUAAAGGACUUUUGUCCGGGAGCAAAUGCUGGUGGCUAACAUCCACCGGAGCUGAGAGUACCGGAAGAAUAAGCACCGGCUAACUACGUGCCAGCCGCCGCGGUAAGAC